rnacentral:rRNA from 1 species
CGGGAUGCUUAGUACGGCGAGUGAAGCGGCAAAAGCUCAAAUUUGAAAUCUGGUACCUUCGGUGCCCGAGUUGUAAUUUGGAGAGGGCAACUUUGGGGCCGUUCCUUGUCUAUGUUCCUUGGAACAGGACGUCAUAGAGGGUGAGAAUCCCGUGUGGCGAGGAGUGCGGUUCUUUGUAAAGUGCCUUCGAAGAGUCGAGUUGUUUGGGAAUGCAGCUCUAAGUGGGUGGUAAAUUCCAUCUAAAGCUAAAUAUUGGCGAGAGACCGAUAGCGAACAAGUACAGUGAUGGAAAGAUGAAAAGAACUUUGAAAAGAGAGUGAAAAAGUACGUGAAAUUGUUGAAAGGGAAGGGCAUUUGAUCAGACAUGGUGUUUUGUGCCCUCUGCUCCUUGUGGGUAGGGGAAUCUCGCAUUUCACUGGGCCAGCAUCAGUUUUGGUGGCAGGAUAAAUCCAUAGGAAUGUAGCUUGCCUCGGUAAGUAUUAUAGCCUGUGGGAAUACUGCCAGCUGGGACUGAGGACUGCGACGUAAGUCAAGGAUGCUGGCAUAAUGGUUAUAUGCCGCCCGUCUUGAAC